rnacentral:rRNA from 1 species
AACGAACGCUGGCGGCAUGCCUAACACAUGCAAGUCGAACGAGACCUUCGGGUCUAGUGGCGCACGGGUGCGUAACGCGUGGGAACCUGCCCUUAGGUUCGGAAUAACUCCCCGAAAGGGGUGCUAAUACCGGAUAAUGUCUUCGGACCAAAGAUUUAUCGCCUUUGGAUGGGCCCGCGUUGGAUUAGCUAGUUGGUAGGGUAAAAGCCUACCAAGGCGACGAUCCAUAGCUGGUCUGAGAGGAUGAUCAGCCACACUGGGACUGAGACACGGCCCCGACUCCUACGGGAAGCAGCAGUGGGGAAUAUUGGAACAUGGGCGAAAGCCUGAUCCAGCAAUGGCGCGUGAGUGAUGAAGGCCUUAGGGUUGUAAAGCUCUUUUACCCGGGAUGAUAAUGACAGUACCGGGAGAAUAAGCUCCGGCUAACUCCGUG